rnacentral:rRNA from 1 species
CUUUUACACGCCUUAGUGGCGGACGGGUGAGUAACGCGUGGGUAACCUGCCUUACACUGGGGGAUAACACUUAGAAAUAGGUGCUAAUACCGCAUAAGCGCACGAAGCCGCAUGGAUUUGUGUGAAAAACUCCGGUGGUGUAAGAUGGACCCGCGUCUGAUUAGCUUGUUGGCGGGGUAACGGCCCACCAAGGCGACGGUCAGUAGCCGGCCUGAGAGGGCGGACGGCCACAUUGGGACUGAGACACGGCCCAAACUCCUACGGAAGGCAGCAG